AUACUGCAGGGGCCAGGCUGGGAAGUGGCGCCGCCGCCCCCCCAGCGCAGCCCCCCCCCUUGUUUCGUCCCCAGAUGUCGGCCAUGAGCCACGGGAGCGGCCGAGGCGAUGCCCGGGACGCUGCCAGGGUCGCGCAGGCCCCGCCCGGCCGCGUCAAGCGCCGCAGGACCAGGGGCGAGCGCAACCGCGCCAAGUUCGGCAGAUGCCUCCCCAGCAGCACCAGGCGGCAGGGGCCGAGGCCCCCCUGGGGGGGCGUCCCCCCACUCCGGGCUGCACCCCCCCAGCCCAGCCCCCUGCCCCCCCCCCGGCCCGUCAUCAUCACCCAGCAGCGCCUCAGCCGCCCCCGGGGCCUCCUCGGCCGGGGGGUGACAUCGGGGGACAUCCAGCGGCUGCUGGGGGGCGGGCAGGGGGCGGGCCCCCCCCCGGCCGAGGGGCUGGGAUGGCCGGCAGGCAGCCCCCUCCCCGCGCAGGGGCUGGGGAGGGACGGGCGGGCGUCGCCCCCCCAGCCACAAGUCCCUCGGGGGCCGGGGAGGGAGGACGGGGGCUCCCCCCCCCGCACCGGGACGCCCCCCCAGGAGGUGGCCGGCCGCCUGCGGGCCCUCCUGCCGGCCCCGGCCGAGCUGUGGGGCCGCGCCCUGGCGGAGGAGCGGCGCCGCGCCGUGCUCGCAGCCCUGCUGGAGCGCCACUGCGCCCUGCCCGACCUGGCCGCCCUCCUGCCCCGCCGGGGCGUGGGGGCUGCGGGGGGCCUCUCCCACGGGCUGCCCCCUCCUGGGCCGCCCCCUGCCUCCCCCCCCUCGCCGGGGCUCAGCACCCCUGAAAUGGGGCCGCUUCCCCAGGCGGUGCGGAGCAAGGACCCUGCAGCCCAUCGCAGCCACCCCCCUGCACCUCUGCAGGCCGUCACUCAGAGCUGUUUCCCCUGGAUGAUGGAGGAUGAAGACGAGGCACACUCUGAAAAACCCGCCAUGCAAUUCUGCGUCCGGACCCCCUCACCACCACUGUUCAGGGCCCGCCACCCUGCACCCUCCCCUGCCUCCUACCUACCCGCAGGGCGCUGCACUCCCGAACCUGAGCUGCUGCCCCAGCCAACUACGAGCAGGAACCCAGCACCCCAGCACCGCUGGCGCCGUGUCUCCCCACAAGCUGUCGAUCAGACUCCAAGCCCCCCUGCUGUUCCUCUGCCCCCUGUUUUCGGUGCCAAGAGGAAGGAGAGGCAGAGCUGGCUCCCCUGGAUGUCGGAAGAUGAGGAUGACACACACCCUGAAGACCCAGCCCCACUGUUCUGUGCCCGGACACCAUCUCCACCACUAUUUGAGGGGCUUCCCCAGCCCCACAUCCCCCUGGGGGAGCCAGGCUGCACAUGCAGGGCAGCAUGGGGCCCCAGGGUAGAGGACAAAGCAGAAGGGCAUGGCCAGAUCUACUGGCGGUCCCGUGUGCCACAGCAUCGCCGGGUGUUAGAGCAUCCCAUGUCAGGGACACACGCCCCACACCACCCCUGCUGGUGCCACAGGGACCAGCGGACACCCCCUACUUUGUACCGGGGCACAUGCCCCUGUGCCCCCUCCCCAUCACACCACCCCUGCAAGCACAGCCCUUGUCCCCACAGCAGGCCUCGGCAUGCCACGAGCUUCCCCACGUGCCGCUGCUCACCCCCUGAAAGCCACCGGCCACGGGGCUGGAGGGGGCCGCUGGAGCCACGGCAAAGGGGGUGGCACCUUUCCUUCUGCCCCCAUGCCACAGUUCCCCACAAUGCACGGGAAAGGGACUCUAGCCCCAAUGUCUGGCUCUUCCCCUGCCUGUACUGAGGGACAUGGGAAGGCAUACUUUAUUGGAGUAACCUCCCUGUGCUCAAUAAAGGCUGUUACACCUUUAUGUGGCUGUGUCCC
ensembl:lncRNA